GUUUGUAUGUGAUCCCUCAUCCAACAUGGGGCUUGAACUCACGACACUGAGAUCAAGAGUCACAUGCUCUUCCAACUGAGCCAGC
ensembl:snoRNA SNORD33 Small nucleolar RNA Z195/SNORD33/SNORD32 family